CGGGUGCGUAACACGUGAGCAACCUACCGAAAUGUGGGGGAUAGCCGGCCUAACGGCCGAGUAAUACCGCAUACGCUUUCAGUGAGGCAUUUCAUUGAAAGGAAACCUACGGGACAUUUCGAGGGGCUCGCGGCCUAUCAGCUAGUUGGCGAGGUAACGGCUCACCAAGGCGACGACGGGUAGCUGGUCUGAGAGGAUGGCCAGCCACAUUGGGACUGAGAUACGGCCCAG
rnacentral:rRNA from 1 species